rnacentral:tRNA from 1 species
GGAGAUGCUAGAGCGGUUGAAUGGGGCGGUCUCGAAAACCGUUAAGGGCCGUAAGGUCCUUCGAGGGUUCGAAUCCCUCCCCCUCCG